CUGGCCGUUCGCACCUCGCCCGGGGGCCCUCCAGCAGCCUGGCCCAGCGGUCCCCGCCGCGCCGGCCGUAUCGUUCCCGGCAUCUCAGCGAGUUUCCAGUUUCUCCCUACCUCAGUAGGGAACCAAGAAGCAGAAGGAGUUCAGGGACAAAGAAGCACUACACUGUGAGCCUGCUGUUAUCACUCCCAACAUCUGGUCAGGAAGCAAACCAACUGAUCAAGGAGCAACAUAGUUCAUCCUACUUGAGCACCUCUACUUCCAGAUUUUGGGAUAUGUAACAUGCUGAGAACAAGUUAAUUAUCUAUGCACAUAUAUGUGUAUGUGUGUAUGCAUGUGUAUACACAUACGUGUACAAACAGGCA
rnacentral:lncRNA from 10 species